CUUAAAAGGGCAACUCUGCACCCUCGGCUUCCGCGAUCUCGCUCCUCUCCCCAAUGUUGUAGCCCAGGGGUGCACCCUGGGAAUCACCCCCACCUGAGGGGCAAGUUGGUGAAGGGGAAGGGGACCUCCCUUGCUUCCUAGUUCGCUCCCACUGUGGGAAUUCUGAGGAGGGUCUCGGAAGGGGCGCGAUUUCUUUCCCCAUCGACUUCUCCAUCUCGUACUCCGCUCAAUUUUGGGGGUCGAGGAGGACCCUCAAGUUAAGCAAGUGGUCUCAGAUUUUCUCCCUGAAAUCCCAUCUUCGGAACACCGCCCCUCCCCAGCGUUUCUCUUCUGUCAAUUUCGGAGAGGUUACUAAGGGGGCGAGACCCCCACCCGCACGGGAGUGGAAGUCGGGGGAGUAGGGCCCAACCCCUCUCACCCCACCCCGCCCGCCCCGGGAAGGUGAGGAGGAAGUGGGCCAAGGGGGCGCGGUCGGUCGCUGACUCACAGCCGCAGGGUCGGGGGUGGGGUGGGGUGGAGGUGGGGACUGGCGAGGAGUGCGGGAGUGGGGGGCCCGGCAUUCGCCCGGGGUGGGCAGGAGGCGCCGGCUUCUUUGGUGUGUAAAGCCUCCGGCCCACGCACGCCCCGCUCUGACUCAGUUUCGCCUGCGGAGGACAGCAGGAUCAUCCCAGCCCUCAGGAGGGCCCGGAGCUUGAAUUGGGCUUCCAUCUCUCACGACUCAAAGAAAACUGACAAAUACCUCCUUCAGCUACUGAGAAAUUGUCAACAAUCCUCCCUCAUCAACAUGAUAAUCACCAAACUCCCACCUCUGCCAUGCAAAGGCCUUGGGGCUCUAAACCCAGCUUCCUCCCUCCCAUUUCUUCCCUGAUGCCACUCCAUGCCUUGGUCCACCACUAUACAUCUUUGGAUAUCUCCAAAUUCUCCUUAGCUAUCUGGGCCCCAUUACAGCUUCUCUUGUCUAAGACCUGGAUCAUACUCAUGUAUGUCCUGAUGGUAUCUGCUGUGCGUCUAGGCCUUAGAAUUGGUCAUUAGCAUUCCCUGAAUGUUUCCAUCUUAUUCUUGGAUGUGGGAAGCACUUGGGCUGAUGGGGCACUGCAGAGCGUUGCCGGCUCACAUUUCUUGGAGGGGAAUCACAGUCUCUUCUCUGCAUCUGCGUCUCCCUCCUCAUGCCUUGCACAAUGCUUCAGGGCUGGGAGUAGGAAUGUAUUAAUAUAGCAAGCUGGCUGGGUUGCAGUGGCUCCCGCCUGUAAUCCCAGCACUUUGGGAGGCCAAAGCAGGAGGAUCCCUUGAGCCCAGGAGUUUGAGACCAGCCUGGGCAACAUAGUGAGACCCAGUCUAAAAAAAAAGAGAGAGAGAAAAGAAAGGAAGGAAGAAAAGAAAAAAAGAGAAAGAAAGAAGAGAAAAGAGGAAUAAAAUAUAUCAGGCAAA